rnacentral:rRNA from 1 species
GAACGCUGGCGGCGUGCCUAAUACAUGCAAGUCGAGCGGACCGACGGGAGCUUGCUCCCUUAGGUCAGCGGCGGACGGGUGAGUAACACGUGGGUAACCUGCCUGUAAGACUGGGAUAACUCCGGGAAACCGGGGCUAAUACCGGAUGCUUGAUUGAACCGCAUGGUUCAAUCAUAAAAGGUGGCUUUUAGCUACCACUURCAGAUGGACCCGCGGCGCAUUAGCUAGUUGGUGAGGUAACGGCUCACCAAGGCGACGAUGCGUAGCCGACCUGAGAGGGUGAUCGGCCACACUGGGACUGAGACACGGCCCAGACUCCUACGGGAGGCAGCAGUAGGGAAUCUUCCGCAAUGGACGAAAGUCUGACGGAGCAACGCCGCGUGAGUGAUGAAGGUUUUCGGAUCGUAAAACUCUGUUGUUAGGGAAGAACAAGUACCGUUCGAAUAGGGCGGCACCU